AACUAGUGGCGGACGGGUGAGUAACGCGUGGGUAACCUGCCUCAUACAGGGGGAUAACAGUUAGAAAUGACUGCUAACACCGCAUAAUAUAGCGAAACCGCAUGAUUUUGCUAUCAAAUAUUUAUAGGUAUGAGAUGGGCCCGCGUCUGAUUAGCUAGUUGGUGGGGUAAAAGCCUACCAAGGCGACGAUCAGUAGCCGGCUCGAGAGGGUGACCGGCCACAUUGGGACUGAGACACGGCCCAAACUCCUACGGGAGGCAGCAGUGGGGAAUAUUGGACAAUGGGGGAAACCCUGAUCCAGCCGACGCCGCGUGAGUGAAGAAGUAUUUCGGUAUGUAAAGCUCUAUCAGCAGGGAAGAUAAUGACAGUACCUGACUAAGAAGCCCCGGCUAACUACGUGCCAGCCGCGGC
rnacentral:rRNA from 1 species